CCACGGGGGGCUGCAGUGGGGAAUAUUGGACAAUGGGCGAAAGCCUGAUCCAGCCAUGCCGCGUGUGUGAAGAAGGCCUUCGGGUUGUAAAGCACUUUCAGUGGGGAAGAAAGCCUUGGGGCUAAUACCCUCGAGGAAGGACAUCACCCACAGAAGAAGCACCGGCUAACUCCGUGCCAGCAGCCGCGGUAAUACGGAGGGUGCGAGCGUUAAUCGGAAUUACUGGGCGUAAAGCGCGCGUAGGCGGUCUGAUAAGCCGGUUGUGAAAGCCCCGGGCUCAACCUGGGAACGGCAUCCGGAACUGUCAGGCUAGAGUGCAGGAGAGGAAGGUAGAAUUCCCGGUGUAGCGGUGAAAUGCGUAGAGAUCGGGAGGAAUACCAGUGGCGAAGGCGGCCUUCUGGACUGACACUGACGCUGAGGUGCGAAAGCGUGGGUAGCAAACAGGAUUAGAUACCCGGGUAGUC
rnacentral:rRNA from 1 species